rnacentral:rRNA from 1 species
GUGGGGAAUCUUGCGCAAUGGGCGAAAGCCUGACGCAGCCAUGCCGCGUGAAUGAUGAAGGUCUUAGGAUUGUAAAAUUCUUUCACCGGGGACGAUAAUGACGGUAUCCGGAGAAGAAGCUCCGGCUAACUUCGUGCCAGCAGCCGCGGUAAUACGAAGGGGGCUAGCGUUGCUCGGAAUUACUGGGCGUAAAGGGCGCGUAGGCGGACAGCUUAGUCAGAGGUGAAAGCCCAGGGCUCAACCUUGGAAUUGCCUUUGAUACUGGCUGUCUUGAGUUUGGGAGAGGUGAGUGGAACUCCGAGUGUAGAGGUGAAAUUCGUAGAUAUUCGGAAGAACACCAGUGGCGAAGGCGACUCACUGGCCCAAUACUGACGCUGAGGCGCGAAAGCGUGGGGAGCAAACAGGAUUAGAAACCCGUGUAGUCC